GCGAUUAAUCGGCGUUAAUAUAUGACCCGAUUAGCAGCUUCCGGGAAACCAAAGUUUUUCGUUUCCGGGGGAAGUAUGGUUGCAAAGCUGAAACUUAAAGGAAUUGACGGAAGGGCACCACCAGGAGUGGAGCCUGCGGCUUAAUUUGACUCAACACGGGAAAACUCACCCGGCCCGGACACCGUAAGGAUUGACAGACUGAGAGCUCUUUCUUAAUUCGGUGGGUGGUGGUGCAUGGCCGUUCUUAGUUGGUGGAGCGAUUUGUCUGGUUAAUUCCGAUAACGAACGAGACUCUGGCCUAUUAAAUAGACGAUAUAUUUAAAAGUAUAUCGCGCUUCUUAGAGGGACAAGCGGCGUCUAGCCGCAUGAAAUAGAGCAAUAACAGGUCUGUGAUGCCCUUAGAUGUCCGGGGCUGCACGCGCGCUACACUGAAAGAAUCAGUGUGCGUUACGCCUAGUUCGGAAGAACCGGGUAACCCAAGUAAAUUCUUUCGUGCUUGGGAUAGGGAAUUGCAAUUAUUUCCCUUAAACGAGGAAUUCCAGUAAAUGCGGGGU
rnacentral:rRNA from 1 species